ACUCCUACGGGAGGCAGCAGUGGGGAAUAUUGCACAAUGGGCGCAAGCCUGAUGCAGCCAUGCCGCGUGUAUGAAGAAGGCCUUCGGGUUGUAAAGUACUUUCAGCAGUGAGGAAGGCGGGUACGUUAAUAGCGUGCUCGUUUGACGUUAGCUGCAGAAGAAGCACCGGCUAACUCCGUGCCAGCAGCCGCGGUAAUACGGAGGGUGCGAGCGUUAAUCGGAAUUACUGGGCGUAAAGCGCAUGCAGGUGGUUCGUUAAGUCAGAUGUGAAAGCCCGGGGCUCAACCUCGGAAUUGCAUUUGAAACUGGCGGACUAGAGUACUGUAGAGGGGGGUAGAAUUUCAGGUGUAGCGGUGAAAUGCGUAGAGAUCUGAAGGAAUACCGGUGGCGAAGGCGGCCCCCCUGGACAGAUACUGACACUCAGAUGCGAAAGGCUGGGGGAGCAAACAGGAUUAGAUACCCUGGUAGGAUAG
rnacentral:rRNA from 1 species